GAUGAAGAACGCAGCGAAAUGCGAUACUUGGUGUGAAUUGCAGAAUCCCGUGAACCAUCGAGUCUUUGAACGCAAGUUGCGCCUCAAGCCAUUAGGUUGAGGGCACGUCUGCCUGGGCGUCACAUAUCGUUGCCUGAUGCCAGUUUCCUCGUGAUAGGUGACUGUGCAGGGCGAAUGAUGGCUUCCCGUGAGCAUUGUUGCCUCAUGGUUGGUUGAAAAUUGAGUCCUUGGUAGGGAGCGCCGUGAUAGAUGGUGGUUGAGUGACGAACGAGACCCAAUCAUGUGAGACCCCUACCGAAUUUGGCCUUCAUGACCCACAUGCGUCUUUGGAACGCUCAUGACGAGACCUCAGGUCAGGCGGGGCUACCCGCUGAGUUUAAGCAUAUCAAUAAGCGGAGGA
rnacentral:misc_RNA from 1 species